UCAUUCCACGAGUUCCGUGCCGCAGCUAACGCAUUAAGCGCCCCGCCUGGGGAGUACGGCCGCAAGGCUAAAACUCAAAGGAAUUGACGGGGGCCCGCACAAGCGGCGGAGCAUGUUGCUUAAUUCGAUGCAACGCGAAGAACCUUACCUAGGCUUGACAUGCACGGAAAUCCUCCAGAGAUGGUGGGUCCGUAAGGGCCGUGCACAGGUGGUGCAUGGUUGUCGUCAGCUCGUGUCGUGAGAUGUUGGGUUAAGUCCCGCAACGAGCGCAACCCUCGUUCUAUGUUGCCAGCACGUCAUGGUGGGGACUCAUAGGAGACUGCCGGGGUCAACUCGGAGGAAGGUGGGGAUGACGUCAAAUCAUCAUGCCCCUUAUGUCUAGGGCUGCAAACAUGCUACAAUGGCCGGUACAAAGGGCUGCGAUACCGCGAGGUGGAGCGAAUCCCAAAAAGCCGGUCUCAGUUCGGAUUGGGGUCUGCAACUCGACCCCAUGAAGUUGGAGUCGCUAGUAAUCGCAGAUCAGCAACGCUGCGGUGAAUACGUUCCCGGGCCUUGUACACACCGCCCGUCACGUCACGAAAGUCGGUAACGCCCGAAGC
rnacentral:rRNA from 1 species